CAAGUAGGGGGCGAGCGUUGUCCGGAUUUAUUGGGCGUAAAGAGCUCGUAGGCGGUUCGGCAAGUCGGGUGUGAAAUUUCGAGGCUCAACCUCGAAACGCCACUCGAUACUGCUGUGACUGGAGUCCGGUAGAGGAGUGCGGAAUUCCUGGUGUAGCGGUGAAAUGCGCAGAUAUCAGGAGGAACACCAACGGCGAAGGCAGCACUCUGGGCCGGUACUGACGCUGAGGAGCGAAAGCGUGGGGAGCAAACAGG
rnacentral:rRNA from 1 species